GACGAACGCUGGCGGCGUGCCUAACACAUGCAAGUCGAGCGGAGGUACAAUGAGAGCAAUCGAGAUGUACUUUAGCGGCGGACGGGUGAGUAACGCGUGAGCAACCUGCCUAUCACAGGGGGAUAAGGCGGCGAAAGCCGCUCUAAUACCGCAUGAGACCCUCAAAGCGAUGCAAUGGGGGUGAAAGGAGCGAUCCGGUGAGAGAUGGGCUCGCGUCCGAUUAGGUAGUUGGUAGGGUAAGGGCCUACCAAGCCAAUGAUCGGUAGCCGGCCUGAGAGGGUGAACGGCCACAUUGGAACUGAGAGACGGUCCAAACUCCUACGGGAGCAGCAGUGAGGAAUAUUGGUCAAUGGGCGAAAGCCUGAACCAGCCAUGUCGCGUGAAGGAUGAAGGUCCUAUGGAUUGUAAACUUCUUUUGCAGGAGGUAAAGUGAGCUACGUGUAGUUCAUUGCAAGUACCCUGCGAAUAAGCAUCGGCUAACUCCGU
rnacentral:rRNA from 1 species